CCCCCCAACCCAACGCGGGCGGGGGUCCCGUUUUGGGGGGGGUGGUGCUGGCGCUGAGCGGCUUCCAGAACCCUCUGCGGGCUCAGCUGCGGGCGGCGGCCGCGGCGCUGGGGGCGGAGUACCGGCCCGACUGGACACCUGAGUGCACCCACCUGGUGUGCGCGUUCGCCAGGACGCCGAAGGCGGCGCGGGCGCGGCAGAGGGGAGGGGUCGUGGUGGGGGCCAGGUGGAUUUGGGAGUGCCAGAGGCAGGGCAGGAGGUUGAGCUGCGGGCCGUACCUCUUGGAUGGCUCCGCCUCCUCUGGCAGCGAGGGGGAGGAGCCUGAGGAUGCCCCACCCCCUCCACGCCCCUCCCCCAAGGUGAA